rnacentral:rRNA from 1 species
GACGAACGCUGGCGGCGUGCCUAAUACAUGCAAGUUGAGCGAUGAAGAUUGGUGCUUGCACCAAUUUGAAGAGCAGCGAACGGGUGAGUAACGCGUGGGGAAUCUGCCUUUGAGCGGGGGACAACAUUUGGAAACGAAUGCUAAUACCGCAUAACAACUUUAAACAUAAGUUUUAAGUUUGAAAGAUGCAAUUGCAUCACUCAAAGAUGAUCCCGCGUUGUAUUAGCUAGUUGGUGAGGUAAAGGCUCACCAAGGCGAUGAUACAUAGCCGACCUGAGAGGGUGAUCGGCCACAUUGGGACUGAGACACGGCCCAAACUCCUACGGGAGGCAGCAGUAGGGAAUCUUCGGCAAUGGACGAAAGGCUGACCGAGCAACGCCGCGUGAGUGAAGAAGGAAUUCGGAGCGUAAAACACGGUUGGUAGAGAAGAACGUUGGUGAGAGUGAAAAGCUCAUCAAGUGACGGUAACUACCCAGAAAGGGACGGCUAACUACGUG